rnacentral:rRNA from 1 species
CUKCUGAUAGGARARAAMCAMRKSUCAAGARUAUYGYUGCMCYUUGACGKUWCUUACAGAGCCUGCUACUACGKGCAGCAGUCSGGUAUACGUAGGKGCAAGGSUUUKUCCGAAUWWUGGSGUAAAGGCUCGCAGGCGKUUCUUAGUCUGAUGUGAAGCCCCCGGCUCAACCGGGAGGGUCAUUGAAACUGGGAAACUUGAGUGCAGAAGAGGAGAGUGGAWUUCCACGUGAGCGUKAAAUGCGUAGAGAUGUGGAGGAACACCAGUGCGAAGGCGACUCUCUGGUCUGUAACUGACGCUGAGGAGCGAAAGCGUGGGGAGCGAACAGGAUUAGAUACCCUGGUAGUCCACGCCGUAAACGAUGAGUGCUAAGUGUUAGGGGGUUUCCGCCCCUUAGUGCUGCAGCUAACGCAUUAAGCACUCCGCCUGGGGAGUACGGUCGCAAGACUGAAACUCAAAGGAAUUGACGGGGGCCCGCACAAGCGGUGGAGCAUGUGGUUUAAUUCGAAGCAACGCGAAGAACCUUACCAGGUCUUGACAUCCUCUGACAACCCUAGAGAUAGGGCUUUCCCUUCGGGGACAGAGUGACAGGUGGUGCAWGRUWGUCGUCAGCUCGUGUCGUGAGAUGUUGGGUUAAGUCCCGCAACGAGCGCAACCCUUGAUYUUAGUUGCCAGCAUUCAGUUGGGCACUCUAAGGUGACUGCCGGUGACAAACCGGAGGAAGGUGGGGAUGACGUCAAAUCAUCAUGCCCCUUAUGACCUGGGCUACACACGUGCUACAAUGGACAGAACAAAGGGYUGCGAGACCGCAAGGUUUAGCCAAUCCCACAAAUCUGKUSUCAGUUCGGAUCGCAGUCUGCAACUCGACUGCGUGAAGCUGGAAUCGCUAGUAAUCGCGGAUCAGCWUKCUYUKYUGAAGAAUACGUUCCCGGGCCUUGUACACACCGCCCKUYYUUAUUUCUKUUACAGGAUGAU